GGUGCGGUAAGAGCGCACCGCGCAGCUGGUAACAGGUGUGGCAUGGUAAACCCCGCCCGGAGCAAGAUCAAAUAGAGGAACAGACGCGUGGCCCGCGCGGUUCCUGGGUAGAUUGCUUGAGCUGCAAGGUGACUUGCAGCCUAGAUGAAUGACUGUUCUCGACAAAACCCGGCUUAUAGGCCGACUCUUUCU
rnacentral:RNase_P_RNA from 1 species